rnacentral:rRNA from 1 species
AACGCUAGCUACAGGCUUAACACAUGCNAGUCGAGGGGCAGCAUGUAUCUGGCUUGCCGGAUACGAUGGCGACCGGCGCACGGGUGAGUAACGCGUAUCCAACCUGCCCCGUACACGGGGAUAGCCUUCCGAAAGGGAGAUUAAUACCCGAUGAUGUCAGGAGUUCGCAUGUAAACCUGACUAAAGUUAUUACGGUACGGGAGGGGGGUGCGUUCCAUUAGGUAGUAGGCGGGGUAACGGCCCACCUAGCCGACGAUGGAUAGGGGUUCUGAGAGGAAGGUCCCCCACAUUGGAACUGAGACACGGUCCAAACUCCUACGGGAGGCAGCAGUGAGGAAUAUUGGUCAAUGGCCGGGAGGCUGAACCAGCCAAGUAGCGUGAAGGAUGACGGCCCUACGGGUUGUAAACUUCUUUUAUAAGGGAAUAAAGGGCGCCACGCGUGGUGUUUUGCAUGUACCUUAUGAAUAAGCAUCGGCUAACUCCGUGCCAGCAGCCGCGGUAAUACGGAGGAUGCGAGCGUUAUCCGGAUUUAUUGGGUUUAAAGGGAGCGCAGGCGGGCGAUUAAGUCAGUUGUGAAAUGCCACGGCUCAACCGUGGACUUGCAGUUGAUACUGGUUGCCUUGAGUGCGGCAGAGGCAGGCGGAAUUCGUGGUGUAGCGGUGAAAUGCUUAGAUAUCACGAAGAACUCCGAUUG